rnacentral:rRNA from 1 species
UUUAACUCGAAGCAACGCGCAGAACCUUACCAUCCCUUGACAUCCCUAUCGCGGUUUCCAGAGAUGGAUUCCUUCAGCUCGGCUGGAUAGGUGACAGGUGCUGCAUGGCUGUCGUCAGCUCGUGUCGUGAGAUGUUGGGUUAAGUCCCGCAACGAGCGCAACCCUCGCUCUUAGUUGCCAUCAGGUCAAGCUGGGCACUCUAAGAGAACUGCCGGUGAUAAGCCGGAGGAAGGUGGGGAUGACGUCAAGUCCUCAUGGCCCUUAUGGGAUGGGCUACACACGUGCUACAAUGGCGGUGACAGUGGAAGCAAGGGUGCGAGCCUGAGCAAAUCUCCAAAAGCCGUCUCAGUUCGGAUUGUUCUCUGCAACUCGAGAGCAUGAAGUUGGAAUCGCUAGUAAUCGUGGAUCAGCAUGCCACGGUGAAUACGUUCCCGGGCAUGUGGUGUACAAGGCCUAG